rnacentral:rRNA from 1 species
CCUACGGGUGGCAGCAGUGAGGAAUAUUGGUCAAUGGCCGGAAGGCUGAACCAGCCAUGCCGCGUGAAGGUCAGUGCCCUAUGGGCGUUAAACUUCUUUUGUGCGGGAGCAAUAAUGGUCACGUGUGGCCAGACGAGAGUACCGUACGAAUAAGCCUCGGCUAACUCCGUGCCAGCAGCCGCGGUAAUUCGGGGGAUGCAAGCGUUAUCCGGGUUUAUUGGGUUUAAAGGGUGCGUAGGCUGUGAGGUAAGUCAGCGGUGAAAUGCCCCCGCUCAACGGGGUGAAGUGCCAUUGAUACUGGCUGGCUGGAAUGCGGAUGCCGUGGGAGGAAUGUGUGGUGUAGCGGUGAAAUGCAUAGAUAUCACACAGAACACCGAUUGCGAAGGCAUCUCACUAAUCCGCGAUUGACGCUGAUGCACGAAAGCGUGGGUAUCAAACAGGAUUAGAUACCCUGGUAGUC